rnacentral:ncRNA from 2 species
UCAUGUCCCGUGGGAGAGAUCGGCGUUCCGACGCCGACGCCGAAGGCGCAACACCGCCCGGAAUCGCUCAGGCAAACGGACCGCGGGGACGAC